rnacentral:rRNA from 1 species
GAGUUUGAUCGUGGCUCAGAUUGAACGCUGGCGGCAUGCUUUACACAUGCAAGUCGAGCGGCAGCGCGGGGGCAACCCUGGCGGCGAGCGGCGAACGGGUGAGUAAUAGAUAGGAACGUGUCCGGGAGUGGGGGAUAACUAGCCGAAAGGUUAGCUAAUACCGCAUAUUCUCUACGGAGGAAAGCGGGGGAUCGCAAGACCUCGCGCUCGCGGAGUGGCCUAUCUCCGAUUAGCUGGUUGGUGAGGUAAAGGCUUACCAAGGCGACGAUCGGUAGCUGGUCUGAGAGGAUGAUCAGCCACACUGGGACUGAGACACGGCCCAGACUCCUACGGGAGGCAGCAGUGGGGAAUUUUGGACAAUGGGGGCAACCCUGAUCCAGCCAUGCCGCGUGCGGGAAGAAGGCC